AGUGAACGCCGGCGGCGUGCUUAACACAUGCAAGUCGAACGAGAACGGGUUAUAGCUUGCUAUAAUUGCCAGCUAAGUGGCGCACGGGUGAGUAAUGUAUAGGUAAUAUGCCUCUUACUAAGGGAUAACAAAUGGAAACGUUUGCUAAUACCUUAUACUCCUUAUUAACAUAAGUUAAUAAGGGAAAGAUUUAUUGGUAAGAGAUUAGCCUGUAUUGUAUCAGUUAGUUGGUGGGGUAAUGGCUUACCAAGACUAUGACACAUAACUGGUUUGAGAGGCGGAUUAUUCACACUAGAAAUGAGACACGGUCCAGACUCCUACGGGAGGCAGCAAUGGGGAAUAUUGCACAAUGGACGAAAGUCUGAGGCAGCAACGCCGCGUGGAGGAUGACACAUUUCGGUGCGUAAACUUCUCUUAUAUGAGAAGAUAAUGACGGUAUUAUAUGAAUAAGCACCGGCUAACUCCUUGCCAGCCGCCGCGGUAA
rnacentral:rRNA from 1 species